CGCGGCCUAUCAGCUUGUUGGCGGGGUAACGGCCCACCAAGGCAACGACGGGUAGCUGGUUUGAGAGAACGAUCAGCCACACUGGAACUGAGACACGGUCCAGACUUCUACGGAAGGCAGCAGUAGGGAAUCUUGCGCAAUGGGCGGAAGCCUGACGCAGCGACGCCGCGUGCGGGAUGACGGCCCUAGUGGUUGUAAACCGCUUUCAGCAGGGACGAAAAUGACGGUACCUGCAGAAGAAGUCCCGGCUAACUACGUGCCAGCAGCCGCGGUAAUACGUAGGGGACAAGCGCUGUCCGGAUUCAUUGGGCGUAAAGAGCUCGUAGGCGGCUUAGCAAGUCGGUCGUGAAAUACCGAGGCUCAACCUCGGAACGCCGAUCGAAACUGCCAUGGCUAGGGUCCGGUAGAGGAGAGUGGAAUUCCCGGUGUAGCGGUGAAAUGCGCAGAUAUCGGGAGGAACACCAGUAGCGAAGGCGGCUCUCUGGGCCGGUACCGACGCUGAGGAGCGAAAGCGUGGGGAGCAAACAGGAUUAGAUACCCUGGUAGUCCACGCCGUAAACGUUGGGUACUAGGUGUGGCGGGUUCAUCAAUGCCCGCCGUACCGAAGCUAACGCAUUAAGUACCCCGCCUGGGGAGUACGG
rnacentral:rRNA from 1 species